AUUGAACGCUGGCGGCAGGCCUAACACAUGCAAGUCGGACGGUAGCACAGAGGAGCUUGCUCUUCGGGUGACGAGUGGCGGACGGGUGAGUAAUGUCUGGGAAACUGCCCGAUGGAGGGGGAUAACUACUGGAAACGGUAGCUAAUACCGCAUAACGUCGCAAGACCAAAGUGGGGGACCUUCGGGCCUCACACCAUCGGAUGUGCCCAGAUGGGAUUAGCUGGUAGGCGGGGUAACGGCCCACCUAGGCGACGAUCCCUAGCUGGUCUGAGAGGAUGACCAGCCACACUGGAACUGAGACACGGUCCAGACUCCUACGGGAGGCAGCAGUGGGGAAUAUUGCACAAUGGGCGCAAGCCUGAUGCAGCCAUGCCGCGUGUAUGAAGAAGGCCUUCGGGUUGUAAAGUACUUUCAGCGGGGAGGAAGGUGCUGAGGUUAAUAAGCUCAGCAAUUGACGUUACCCGCAGAAGAAGCACCGGCUAACUCCGUGCCAGCCGCCGCAGUAA
rnacentral:rRNA from 1 species